rnacentral:rRNA from 1 species
CCCUCCCCCAGUACUGAGCGAUUCUAUGUUCUCAUAGAACUCCUUAUGCUAAAAUUAGUAACGCGAAGAACCCUUCUCUACGAUUCAAGCAUAAAUCAGAACGGACCCGCCACUGAUAAUUAACGCUCAUGAACAAACAGCAGUAACCCAACAAGAAAACCCUGCCCACACCUACGUUAAUCUAACACAAGAGAAUCCCGAGAAAGAUUAAAAAAAGCGGAAGGAACUCGGCAAAACUCAGCCCCGCCUGUUUACCAAAAACAUCGCCUCUUGCCCCCCAUAAGAGGUCUAGCCUGCCCAGUGACCCAAUUUUAACGGCCGCGGUAUCCUGACCGUGCGAAGGUAGCGUAAUCACUUGUUCUUUAAAUAAGGACUGGUAUGAACGGCAUCACGAAGGCUGUACUGUCUCCCGCCUUUAAUCAGUGAAAUUAAUCUCCCCGUGAAGAAGCGGGGAUAAAAUCAUAAGACGAGAAGACCCCAUGGAGCUUUAAACAAAGGGCAUUUACUAACCUUUAACAAAAGUUAAGCAUCAUGGCCCCUAGUUUUCGGUUGGGGCGACCGCGGAGAAUAACCCACCCUCCAUGCUGAAAGAUACUAUCUUAGCCUAAAACAACCCAUUUAAGCAUUAGAAUUCUAACACCCAUUGACCCAAUACACUUGAUCAACGAACCAAGUUACCCUGGGGAUAACAGCGCAAUCCACUUCAAGAGCCCCUAUCGACAGGUGGGUUUACGACCUCGAUGUUGGAUCAGGGUACCCAAGUGG